rnacentral:rRNA from 1 species
GGAGGGGGAUAACUACUGGAAACGGUAGCUAAUACCGCAUAACGUCGCAAGACCAAAGAGGGGGACCUUAGGGCCUCUUGCCAUCGGAUGUGCCCAGAUGGGAUUAGCUUGUAGGUGAGGUAACGGCUCACCUAGGCGACGAUCCCUAGCUGGUCUGAGAGGAUGACCAGCCACACUGGAACUGAGACACGGUCCAGACUCCUACGGGAGGCAGCAGUGGGGAAUAUUGCACAAUGGGCGCAAGCCUGAUGCAGCCAUGCCGCGUGUAUGAAGAAGGCCUUCGGGUUGUAAAGUACUUUCAGCGGGGAGGAAGGGAGUGAGGUUAAUAACCUUAUUCAUUGACGUUACCCGCAGAAGAAGCACCGGCUAACUCCGUGCCAGCAGCCGCGGUAAUACGGAGGGUGCAAGCGUUAAUCGGAAUUACUGGGCGUAAAGCGCACGCAGGCGGUCUGUCAAGUCGGAUGUGAAAUCCCCGGGCUCAACCUGGGAACUGCAUUCGAAACUGGCAGGCUGGAGUCUUGUAGAGGGGGGUAGAAUUCCAGGUGUAGCGGUGAAAUGCGUAGAGAUCUGGAGGAAUACCGGUGGCGAAGGCGGCCCCCUGGACAAAGACUGACGCUCAGGUGCGAAAGCGUGGGGAGCAGACAGGAUUAGAUACCCUGGUAGUCCACGCUGUAAACGAUGUCGACGUGGAGGUUGUUCCCU